rnacentral:rRNA from 1 species
AACCUACCUUUUACAGGGGAAUAGCCCAGAGAAAUUUGGAUUAAUACCCCAUAUUAUCUUUUAUUCGCAUGAAUUAGAGAUGAAAGUUUCGACGGUAAAAGAUGGGCAUGCGUCCUAUUAGUUUGUUGGUAAGGUAAUGGCUUACCAAGACUUCGAUAGGUAGGGGCCCUGAGAGGGGGACCCCCCACACUGGUACUGAGACACGGACCAGACUCCUACGGGAGGCAGCAGUGAGGAAUAUUGGACAAUGGAGGAAACUCUGAUCCAGCCAUGCCGCGUGCAGGAUGAAUGCCCUAUGGGUUGUAAACUGCUUUUAUACAGGAAGAAACAUUUCCACGUGUGGAAACUUGACGGUACUGUAAGAAUAAGGAUCGGCUAACUCCGUGCCAGCAGCCGCGGUAAUACGGAGGAUCCAAGCGU